AUUGAACGCUGGCGGCAGGCCUAACACAUGCAAGUCGAACGAGUGGCGGACGGGUGAGUAAUGUCUGGGAAACUGCCUGAUGGAGGGGGAUAACUACUGGAAACGGUAGCUAAUACCGCAUACCCUCAGAUGUGCCCAGAUGGGUUUAGCUCGUGGGUGGGGUAACGGCUCACCAAUGCGACGAUCCCUAGCUGGUCUGAGAGGGUGACCAGCCACAUGGGGACAGAGACACGGUCCAGACUCCUACGGGAGGCAGCAGUGGGGAAUAUUGCACAAUGGGCGCAAGCCUGAUGCAGCCAGGCCGCGUGUAUGAAGAAGGCCAUCGGGUUGUAAAGUACUUUCAGCGGGGAGGCGUUACCCGCAGAAGAAGCACCGGCUAACUCCGUGCCAGCAGCCGCGGUAAUUC
rnacentral:rRNA from 1 species